GGAUAAAUGAACAGCAAGGGCUUCAGAGAAACCACCAAAUUUAUCUUAUUUAAUACUUUGUGACAAGACAGUUUAAAGUACAGUGUUGUGCGGCUCAAUCGGAUAAUCUUUAUCUUUCAUCGGACAGAGGCAGAAGAAAACGGUUCCAGAGGACGAUUUUCAUGGAGUGCAGCCUGGCAUUUCCCCUCUAUUUCAAAAGCAACUAUGACAAUACCGUAGUGCUGGGUGUGCUACACCACGAGGCUUGAGCUCAGCAACAUCUUCCUAGGAGCUUAUGUAAAGGGGUGGUGAUGAAAUUUCCACCCUGGGGAAACUCCCAGAGCUACCCAAUCUACUGAGAACUUCAAGACAAUAUUCACAGAAGCAUAGCGAUCAAACAAAUUGUAAACUGUUUGUUCAGUUCGCUCAACUUGAACCUCAGCAGCCCAGGCCGACCUCAGCCUAGCGAGGGAAUUUACGUGAUGAUGACGCGAUGACGUUGAAGAAAGAGGAGGAGCUCUGUGUGGUCAGGCUUCUUUGCGCCUACCUUGGACCC